GGUGCUAUGGUGUAGUGGUUAGCACUCGGGAUUUUGAGCAGCGUCUUCCCGCGACUCAGGUUCGAACCCUGAUAGCACCU